CACACAGAGACCGAACACAAGAAAAGCAGCGUUCUCGUUGACGAAUCAGCGUUCAGCAGGCGGGUGGUUUAUUACAAAUAUGUUACAGUAACCAUGACAUCUCUACUGAACCAGAGCGGAAACAGAAGGCCACGCGCUGCGAGGAGCUACUCUACAGGGCUAUACUCUAUAGGCCUCCAUGCGGGAACCCAUCGAUUGAAACCGGUUUAGCAUUGGCUGAGAUUAAUAGGAGUUACAAGCUACAUGAUUGGAGAGGUUUUCCUGCGUUGACUCGAGCUCUUCCUAUGCAGGGUGCGCCGUGGUAUGUUGUGGUAUAUUGGAUUGCCCUGUAAUAUGCAGCGCUGGCAGUACAACAUCGCAAUUUAAAUACAUAAUUAGUGUGUCUCACGCAAACACCUUUUUCCGCAAAAUCACCACGAAUAAAUAAACAGUACAUUCAUCAACUCUCUCAGAGAACAGUCUUGAUGUUAUUAUGCCAUUCGAUAGCUUAGUACAACUGUUAGGCUACACCCACCCAGUUCAACGAUUUUUUCUUUCAAAAGUCGUAUUUCAAACCACUACAGGUUUUAGCGUUAAUAAAAUUAAAACGGUAAAAACUAAAAUCGACAUUAUUCACAAAAAUAAAAUACAUUAAGACACAUCCACAAGGCCAUUGACAUUCCAUUCGCACGUUAAAAUUAAAACCACAUCGCCUCUUAAUGGAAUAUUUUACAUCUUUGCAGCAAUUUAAAUAACACUAACACCGUUUCGCAGUCCUUCGUCUUCUUUUUUUCUGAGUUCAUGUUUUCUUUCCAGUGUCUAUUGCACACCGCUCGGAGCCAACGGCUUCCUGGAAGGGGUGGUGGCGGGGGGGUGAGGGGUCAAGGGUCGAGGGGCGAGGUGGGUCAAGGCUUGGAGCUAUCGCUUGGAUCCCUUGGCCAGUUUGCUCGUGGGCGUGGCUCUCCUCUUGGGCGUGGGGAUCUUGGAGGGCUUCCCGCCGUGCUGACGGGCGGCCGAGCCGCGGGGGGAGGGUCUUCCGUGUUCGCCCACGUUCUCCGAGGCGUCGGAGCACACCGAUUGGAUGUCGGAGAUGUCGAAGUCGGACGCGUCGCUGCCUCGCCGGCUGCUGCCUCGACUGCCUGGCUGGGAGGGGUUCUUCCUCUCUGGGGGGGGGGACGUAAUCAUCAUUAGAGAGGGUUUAAUGAAGCAGUCUGGGGUUGAGCGGCUGGUUCGUUCUUAUCGUUAGCCUCAAAGCAUAAUUGCCUAUAAAGUCCUAUUUUAAGAUGCUAAUCUUGUAUUUAGGGUCAAAAAUGCCUGAGUAAAAUAGAUGACUCGGGCAGAUGGUGAUUAAGGAAUGUAGAAAGCACUCUGAUUGGCUUAGAAUUUAUCCAAUGAGGCACAGUGAAUCAGCAGCAUUAGGGAGGUUAUGUAUCACAAUUUGGCCAAUAUAUUGUGAUUGAUCUGAACGAUGGAUUACAGUUAAAAUGCCAAGAAGCACAAUCCUUAAGAUAAUCCGGUCGAAAAAGGGUAACUGAUUGUUUGAAACGUAGUUACAGCACACAUCCAAUAUAUAUUUGUAUGUUUAACUUAUUAGCAGUAAAUCUUCAUUGAGCCAAGCUUCACGUACCGCCCAUGGCUUGCGCGCGUGCCUUGAGUACAGCGUUGUUUAUCAAGGUCCCCUCCUCGCCUGACUGGAAGCCUUUCCCAGAAAGGUAACCUGGGAGACGUAGUUUGCUGCCCUGUACUGGCGUGCCCUGAAAAACACCAUGGAUUGUCAGUAUCCUGUUCGACAUUCACAUUCAAUAUGGACGUCAGAAGCGGUCAGUGUUAAUCCAUCUAAAGCAAACCAAGAGAUGUUGUUUUUACUCUAGCUUAGUCUUUUGUCAUCAGUCAUUGAUAUUAGUAUCAUUAGUGAACCAAGCAUGCAUACACACAGUACAUCGAACAACAAGGUUAUCCCAGAAAGCUAUCGUUCUUGAAACAGUUAGAAAGGUUAAUCCAAAGGACAGAAUCUGAAACGGGUUAAUAUUUUAGAAUAUUAAGAGUAUUUGAGUUUUUCAGGCCAAACUGAAAUCUGGGGUUGCAGAAUAUCUCGUUGAGUCAAGAACACUGGGCUCCUAGAAACUAAGGGGGUCACAGUGAGGGGAACACACAAAGCAAAGCCCCCACCGAUGACUACCACCGCGCUACAGAUUUCAGUUGGACGGAAAGAGGCGGUGAGGUUAAGGUUAGGAAGCGAGAGAGCCAGCGAGAGAGCUAGCUAGAGAGCCAGCGAGAGAGCUAGCUAGAGGUCCAGCGAGUUCCCCAGAGUGGCGUUGGUUCACGGUACCUCUGACGACGAGCCAGGGCUACCACAGCCGUCUGAAGACUUAAGAGGAGACGAGGGCUUGCUGUUGACAAGCCAGGGCUUAUCGUAAUUGCGGACAAUGGCUUGGGAGUUCUGGGGAGCAAUGGUACAAAAUGGAUACAUAACAUGGACAAUGGUUGACGUGGGAGGAAUGGAGAAGUAAUAAACCGUAAUGCGACAAUACAAAAAAAACAUAUGGAGAAGAGGCGGACGCUGAAAUAAAUAUGAAACAAUAUGGACAAAAUAGGUGACAGAAGUAAAUAAAAAUAAUAGAAAGAUACGGACAAAGAUGGCAGUUGCCUCGUGACAAUAUUAGCAGAUAACUGACGGAAAAACCAAAAAGUACAAACGUAAAAUCAAAGAGGUAGAGAUGUUGACGUUUUUCUCGCGGCACAGAGACCAUUUAAAAGAAGAUGGCCGCGGCGAGAAGCACAACGAACCUCACCUUGGGGGUCCCGCUGGUCACCGUGGUGACCGGGGUGGCGUUGGGGGCCGGCGCGGGGCAGCUGUGGCUGGAGGUGGAGCGGUUGGGCGAGGCGGCGCGGGACGAGGGCCUGGACGAGCGACGGCCACGGUAGCGGAAGCUGGCCAUGAUCUGGGUGGUCCCCUCGGGGAGGAUGAACUUCUCCCGGAGCUCCAGGUUGGUGCGUCCUUUAGCUGGGGGGGGGACAGGUAGAGUGAGGGGGGCGGCCUGGAGGAAGGGUCAGCGUUAUGUACAGGGGCGAGACCCCGGCCACAUUCAAGUCCAGCUCGGGGGUUUGAAUGGAUUCACACGGGGGACGGAGGUAUGGGGGUUUAUGUCGUUUUCAUGCCACACGUUAAACAAAAUUAAAAAAAAUACACGAUGAGUAAUGUAAAACAUGCGGGUUUACAUUUCUGGGACGUCUUGUCGAAUAAAUAGAAUCUUCAUAGGCAAAGGAAUAUCGUUUUUUUGUUUUUUUUGUCAGCCCCAAAAAAGUAAGCGAUACUGCUCUAUUCGGUGGAAUGUUUUAAAUACACCUUCAACCCAUUCCCUUAAACCUUCAAAACAUUAUAAUCACACUAUGAUUGCUGAUUUUGAUAAUGAAAACUUUCCGAAUAAGCAGUUUGAUAUGCACUUAGGUCCACAGAGAUAAAUAUUAUAUUUCUAUGGCAGAAUACCCCAGCAUCCCAGCCUUUGCACCCCAUAAACACUACGUCACUACGAAGCCCCGCUUGGCAGCAAACACAUCUGAAGCCAAAAAAAAACACAACACAUGUUCACCAAAUUUUUUCACACCCCCCACACACACACACACCCCCUGUAGCCACCACAAGCUUGGCGUCACGGCGACCGGCUAUUUUUAGGAUGUUAAUUCCAGUUGCACCUGAGAGCAGCGGCACGCGACAACGAACCCCACCAGGUGCUCACAGCUCUGGGGUGACCCGCUGGGAGGGAAGGCGUUGAACCGGGAGGCAAAUGACACCCCCUCCCAAAAAUAACCCCCGCCAACAGCAGGGGGCGCCGUUGAAGGUUGAGGUAAAACAACAAAGGACAUGCAGGGGGGGGGGGGGACAAACCAGCACAACCACAACGAAGAGCGAUGGGCGACGACGAUGAGGAGGAGUGGACGUGAACCAAGCACCAAGCAGAUGUUUGUGGUGAUGACGACGACACCCAUGAGUACUUACACACCCCUAAGGCACACGCACACCCGGGCACACACACACACACGCGCAAGCACGGUGGAGGUGCAGACACACAUACCGCUAUUGGGAUCAUGGAGCACGGUGAGUAAGUUUGAGAUUUGCCAACCUAAAGGAGACUGAGUUAUGGAGGAGUUUGAUUCCGAGCGCAGCAUUUUGCUGCCGUGGUGAUGCACUGGAGAGGGCAGGGGGGGGGAAACGGACACAGCGCACCGGUCAACCAACAGGAAGGAGAACAGGGGGCAUGUCGAACACAUUCAUAGUACUGACGACUGACUGGGUGCGAAUAGGACUUCAGCACGGACAGAACGUAUGCAGGUUUUGGCAUGUGUUGCUAUUAGUGCGUUAUAGAGGAAUUGGUUGUGUAGUUGGCAUUACAUUACCCCAGGUUACUGCAUGUUCUAAUCAUUAACUGUGCAAUUAAAAGUUCACAAUAAAACAAAAACGUAAAAAUAAAAAAUAGAUAGUGAGUGGUGAUAAUCAAAUUAUUCCUGUAAAUAUUUUUUCUUUAGUAAAAAGUAUUUCCGGUACUAAUCGUUCAAACAUAGCAUGUUUGUGCUAGCUUAGCCUUUCCAGAACAGACCUCCAGUUGUCUCUUGAUGUCAAGCAAGAAAAUGAAACCGUGAGUGAGAAAGAAGAAGAUAAGCUGCAAAGAAGUUUCUUCCUCGGAUAUGGACAAUGUCAUAAAUAGUGUAACAACAUUUGAACUCUCUAUAACCGGGGCCUAAAAUGUCCUUGAAACAGUGAAAGGCCUUGGAGAGAGGGAUUACAAUUCAUUUGACAUUUGGAAAUAUGAACAUUGUAAAAAUAUAAACAAACAUUAAUUAUCGCUCGAAUAUCAAAGCAUUUAGUUGAAAAGAUUAUGAAAAAAAUCAUAGGGUAAUUUUGUGUACAACCUGAUCAUCGGGUCAUCGAUUAAACAGAUACGAAAAAUGGAAAUUCAGGGAAAUUAUGCAUUUGUGCAUUUUUUUUACAGGCGUAUCAGGAUAUCACAUGACAAUCCUGAGCCAUUGAGAAUAUACUGAGGGAUCCUGUCCAUCCUAUUCUUAAUUUACUGCGUUACAGCAGUAAAUUAGACCAUCUAUCGCAACACAACCAUCAGAUCGAUGACGUCCAUUUGCUGACCGUAGAGUCUCUCUCUCCCCCUCUCCCCCCCCCUCCCUCUCCCUCUCUCUCUCUCUCCCUCUCUCCCUCUCUCUCCCUCUCUCCCUCUCUCUCUCUCUCUCUCCCUCUCUCCCUCUCUCUCCCUCUCUCCCUCUCUCUCUCUCUCUCUCUCUCUCUCUCUCUCUCUCUCUCCCUCUCUCUCCCUCUCUCUCCCUCUCUCUCCCUCUCUCUCUCUCUCUCCCUCUCUCCCUCUCUCUCUCCCUCUCUCUCCCUCUCCCUCUCUCC
ensembl:lncRNA